rnacentral:rRNA from 1 species
CCGAGUUUACAACUCCCAAACCCAAUGUGAACGUUACCAAACUGUUGCCUCGGCGGGAUCUCUGCCCCGGGUGCGUCGCAGCCCCGGACCAAGGCGCCCGCCGGAGGACCAACCAAAACUCUUAUUGUAUACCCCCUCGCGGGUUUUUUUUAUAAUCUGAGCCUUCUCGGCGCCUCUCGUAGGCGUUUCGAAAAUGAAUCAAAACUUUCAACAACGGAUCUCUUGGUUCUGGCAUCGAUGAAGAACGCAGCGAAAUGCGAUAAGUAAUGUGAAUUGCAGAAUUCAGUGAAUCAUCGAAUCUUUGAACGCACAUUGCGCCCGCCAGUAUUCUGGCGGGCAUGCCUGUCCGAGCGUCAUUUCAACCCUCGAACCCCUCCGGGGGGUCGGCGUUGGGGAUCGGCCCUGCCUUGGCGGUGGCCGUCUCCGAAAUACAGUGGCGGUCUCGCCGCAGCCUCUCCUGCGCAGUAGUUUGCACACUCGCAUCGGGAGCGCGGCGCGUCCACAGCCGUUAAACACCCAACUUCUGAAAUGUUGACCUCGGAUCAGGUAGGAAUACCCGCUGAACUUAAGCAUAUCAA